AAAAGCUUCUGUUUUUAGGGAAGAACAAGUGCGAGAGUAACUGCUCGCACCUUGACGGUACCUAACCAGAAAGCCACGGCUAAUUACGUGCCAGCAGCCGCGGUAAUACGUAGGUGGCAAGCGUUUUCCGGAAUUAUUGGGCGUAAAGGGCUCGCAGGCGGUUUCUUAAGUCUGAUGUGAAAGCCCCCGGUUCAACCGGGGAGGGUCAUUGGAAACUGGGAAACUUGAGUGCAGAAGAGGAGAGUGGAAUUCCACGUGUAGCGGUGAAAUGCGUAGAGAUGUGGAGGAACACCAGUGGCGAAGGCGACUCUCUGGUCUGUAACUGACGCUGAGGAGCGAAAGCGUGGGGAGCGAACAGGAUUAGAUACCCUGGUAGUCCACGCCGUAAACGAUGAGUGCUAAGUGUUAGGGGGUUUCCGCCCCUUAGUGCUGCAGCUAACGCAUUAAGCACUCCGCCUGGGGAGUACGGUCGCAAGACUGAAACUCAAAGGAAUUGACGGGGGCCCGCACAAGCGGUGGAGCAUGUGGUUUAAUUCGAAGCAACGCGAAGAACCUUACCAGGUCUUGACAUCCUCUGACAACCCUAGAGAUAGGGCUUUCCCUUCGGGGACAGAGUGACAGGUGGUGCAUGGUUGUCGUCAGCUCGUGUCGUGAGAUGUUGGGUUAAGUCCCGCAACGAGCGCAACCCUUGAUCUUAGUUGCCAGCAUUCAGUUGGGCACUCUAAGGUGACUGCCGGUGACAAACCGGAGGAAGGUGGGGAUGACGUCAAAUCAUCAUGCCCCUUAUGACCUGGGCUACACACGUGCUACAAUGGACAGAACAAAGGGCUGCAAGACCGCAAGGUUUAGCCAAUCCCAUAAAUCUGUUCUCAGUUCGGAUCGCAGUCUGCAACUCGACUGCGUGAAGCUGGAAUCGCUAGUAAUCGCGGAUCAGCAUGCCGCGGUGAAUACGUUCCCGGGCCUUGUACACACCGCCCGUCACACCACGAGAGUUUGCAACACCCGAAGUCGGUGAGGUAACCUUUAUGGAGCCAGCCGCCGAA
rnacentral:rRNA from 1 species